rnacentral:lncRNA from 1 species
CUCACUAUGUUAUCUGCAACUCGGUGACACAAAUAGCUUUUUUUUUUGGGUCACUUGAUCCUCUCACUAGCAAUUUCACUGGCACAAUAUCACAAGCUCAGGUUUUGAUAAAUGAUAAUGCCAAGGAUCCCUGCAACUGCAAGUGUUGCCUUUGUUAUCUUGCAAAGGUGGACCUGCGAUAAUUUGGAGUCUUGCGUUCAUUUGCUCAGCAAGCAAGAAAUGAAAAGCUGUAGGCAGUCUUUGUCAAAUGACUUGGAAGUUCCAUUCACAGGUGUACGGUCCACGUUGCUCAACAUGUAAAACCUCGGUUACUCAAUUAUUUUGUCUUGUCUUGCUGUGCAAUCCUUUCACACCUCUUUUCUUGAACUUUCUCCUAUUUAUAUCAACAAAAUUAAAAUUCAAUCUCAGUUACUAAUAUUUUAGCUUGAUUGGGAACAUGGGGAUUUUUACUUUCUGUAGAGAGAGAAAUGCAUGAAAGCACAGAAUACUUUGUGCAGACUCAGCAAAUUCUUUCUGCUUUUGUUUCUGGUCUUAGUUCCAAAAAUAGAUAUAAAACCAAAAAGUGGAACCAGGGGGGGCACCCCAUGAGGUUCUAUUUCUUGUCUUUGCGUACCUCGAUGUACCUGAGCUUCACGAGUGAAGCUUGCAUGCUGCUCAGAGAUGCCGUGAACAAAGAUGUAUUAUCAUGGCGGGAUAUCAUCAUUGAAAAGCCUUUGAACUCGAGAUUGUAUGAUGAGAUUCUGGUGCAAAUCACUUCGAAGGCGAAUGGAAAACUGAGAACUUUGCCUCUUUUAAACUGUUUCGAGAUCACAGGAUAUGGGCUUCAAACCGUCAUGGAUAAAAAUCCUUGAAUCAGUAAGGUAUGGUUACCAAAUCGACCUUCUUUUGUUUCUUAUUUUUCGUUUUUUUUUAUAUAAUGAUUAAAUUGAUUUUCCUCGCUCUUUGGCUUUGCUAUUUUAGGGGGGGGGGGGGGAAUUUUGAUAUUUGCCACAGUUUUUCUAAUAACCAAUUAUCUAGGUUAAGGUGGACUGGAUAGGAUUAGUUUGGUACUGGGGAUUGCUUUGAAGCAAAAGAUACCUAAUCUUAUCAGUUAUAAAUGGAUAGACUCGCUUAGAUGUUGACUUGCGAUAGUUCGAGAAAUGGAUGAGUGGCUUCCUGAGGCAAAGCAUAAUUAAAGUAUUUCACGUGAAUUAUAUAUUUUUAGUCAAUGGAAUUAAUUAGUCGAUCGA